rnacentral:rRNA from 1 species
CAGCAGCCGCGGUAAUACGGAGGGUGCAAGCGUUAAUCGGAAUUACUGGGCGUAAAGCGCACGCAGGCGGUUUGUUAAGUCAGAUGUGAAAUCCCCGAGCUUAACUUGGGAACUGCAUUUGAAACUGGCAAGCUAGAGUCUUGUAGAGGGGGGUAGAAUUCCAGGUGUAGCGGUGAAAUGCGUAGAGAUCUGGAGGAAUACCGGUGGCGAAGGCGGCCCCCUGGACAAAGACUGACGCUCAGGUGCGAAAGCGUGGGGAGCAAACAGGAUUAGAGACCCGUGUAGUCCCUGUCUCUUAUAC